rnacentral:rRNA from 1 species
CCUACGGGAGGCAGCAGUGGGGAAUAUUGCACAAUGGGGGAAACCCUGAUGCAGCGACGCCGCGUGAGUGAAGAAGUAUUUCGGUAUGUAAAGCUCUAUCAGCAGGGAAGAAAAUGACGGUACCUGACUAAGAAGCCCCGGCUAACUACGUGCCAGCAGCCGCGGUAAUACGUAGGGAGCAAGCGUUAUCCGGAUUUAUUGGGUGUAAAGGGUGCGUAGACGGGCAAACAAGUUAGUUGUGAAAUCCCUCGGCUUAACUGAGGAACUGCAACUAAAACUAUUAGUCUUGAGUGCGGGAGAGGAAA